rnacentral:rRNA from 1 species
GAAACCAACAGGGAUUGCCUUAGUAACGGCGAGUGAAGCGGCAAAAGCUCAAAUUUGAAAUCUGGCACCUUCGGUGUCCGAGUUGUAAUUUGAAGAAGGUAACUUUGGAGUUGGCUCUUGUCUAUGUUCCUUGGAACAGGACGUCACAGAGGGUGAGAAUCCCGUGCGAUGAGAUGCCCAAUUCUAUGUAAAGUGCUUUCGAAGAGUCGAGUUGUUUGGGAAUGCAGCUCUAAGUGGGUGGUAAAUUCCAUCUAAAGCUAAAUAUUGGCGAGAGACCGAUAGCGAACAAGUACAGUGAUGGAAAGAUGAAAAGAACUUUGAAAAGAGAGUGAAAAAGUACGUGAAAUUGUUGAAAGGGAAGGGCUUGAGAUCAGACUUGGUAUUUUGCGAUCCUUUCCUUCUUGGUUGGGUUCCUCGCAGCUUACUGGGCCAGCAUCGGUUUGGAUGGUAGGAUAAUGACUAAGGAAUGUGGCUCUACUUCGGUGGAGUGUUAUAGCCUUGGUUGAUACUGCCUGUCUAGACCGAGGACUGCGUCUUUGACUAG